rnacentral:lncRNA from 1 species
UCUAUUACUUUUACAAAGGUAAGAUUCUACACAAACUUUGAAAUGUCUUCUGACUUUAUAUCUGAAAAUGUGCACUCACAUGCAUUCACCAAGGGGAAAGAAAUAAUAAAUGUUCCCAUUUGCAUGACAACUGAACAUAGUGGAGGCAACCACUGCAAGCUUUGUUAUUAUAAUUUUGGACUGAUAUAUCAGUUGGAAAGU